GGUUAAGAGGUUGAUCUGGCUGGCUAGUGGACUGUCUCCUUUCUUCCUCACCAUGCCAUGUGCUUCCCUGCAGUAGCUAUGUGCUGGAAGAAAAACCGGCUCCUAACAGAAAAUAAGUCUUGAGUCAAGGGUUUAAGGGUAGCAGCACUCACCUGCUAGAACCUCAAAGCAAACUCUCAGAACUUAAUUUAAUAGUACUCUGAGGACUGAUUCCAAGAAAUGUUGGUAAAAGUUACAGGUUUUUGUUUCCUUUACACU
rnacentral:snRNA from 1 species